AUGUCCAGAGCCCUUGAUGUCCUGUGAAUGAAGGAGGAGGAUGUCCUUAAGUUCCUUGCAGCAGAUAGGUGGCACCAACCUUGACUUCCAGAUGGAAUAGUACAUCUAUAAAAGGAAAAGUGAUGGCAUCUACAUCAUAAAUCUGAAGAGAACCUGGGAGAAGCUUCUCCUGGCAGCUCGUGCCAUUGUUGCCAUUGAAAGCCCUGCUGAUGUCAGUGUUAUAUUCUCCAGGAAUACUGCCCAGAGGGCUGUGCUGAAGUUUGCUGCUGCUACUGGAGCCACUCCAAUUGCUAGCUACUUCACUCCUGGAACCUUCACCAACCAGAUCCAGGCAGCCUUCCGGGAGCUACGGCUGCUUGUGGUUAUUGACACCAGGGCUGACCACCAGCCUCUUGCGGAGGCAUCCUAUGUUAACCUACCUAUCAUUGCUCUGUGUAACACAGAUUCUGCUCUGCACUAUGUGGACAUUGCCAUCUCAUGCAACAACAAGGGAGCUCACUUAGUGGGUUUGAUGUGGUGGAUGCUAGCUUGGGAAGCUCUGUGCAUGUGUGACACCAUUUCCUGUGAACAUCCGUGGGAGGUCAUGCCUGAUCUCUACUUCUACAGGGAACCUGAAGAGAUUGAAAAAGAGCAGGCUGCUGCUGAAAAGGCUAUGACCAAGAAGGAAUUUCAGGUUGAGUGGACUGCUCCAGCUCCUGAGUUUACUGCUACUCAGCUUGAGGUUGCAGACUGGUCUGAAGGCAUGCAGGUGCCCUUUGUGCCUAUCCAGCAGUUCCCUACUAAAGAUAGGAGCACUCAGCCUGCCACGGAAGACUGGUCUGCAGCUCCCACUGCUCAGGCCACUGAAUGGGUAGGAGCAACCACUGAACGGUCUUCAGCUGUUCUUGCACAAGCUCUUAAGCAACAUGGAAAUAAGAUUGAUGGAAAAUAAGCAUCAAGUUUCUAAAAAAGAACACACACAAAACUGAAAUUUUAGACUGGGCACAAUGGCU